rnacentral:rRNA from 1 species
GAAUUCGCCCUUAGAGUUUGAUCCUGGCUCAGGAUGAACGCUGGCGGCGUGCUUAACACAUGCAAGUCGAACGAUUGAAGCUGGAGCUUGCUCCGGCCGAUUUAGUGGCGGACGGGUGAGUAACGCGUGGGUAACCUGCCUCAUACAGGGGGAUAGCAGUUGGAAACGACUGGUAAAACCGCAUAAGCGCACGGUGUCGCAUGACACAGUGUGAAAACACUCCGGUGGUAUGAGAUGGACCCGCGUCUGAUUAGCUAGUUGGUGAGGUAACGGCCCACCAAGGCGACGAUCGGUAGCCGGACUGAGAGGUUGAACGGCCACAUUGGGACUGAGACACGGCCCAGACUCCUACGGGAGGCAGCAGUGGGGAAUAUUGCACAAUGGGGGAAACCCUGAUGCAGCGACGCCGCGUGGAGGAAGAAGGUCUUCGGAUUGUAAACUCCUGUUGUUGAGGAAGAUAAUGACGGUACUCAACAAGGAAGUGACGGCUAACUACGUGCCAGCAGCCGCGGUAAAACGUAGGUCACAAGCGUUGUCCGGAAUUACUGGGUGUAAAGGGAGCGCAGGCGGGAAGGCAAGUUGGAAGUGAAAUCCAUGGGCUCAACCCAUGAACUGCUUUCAAAACUGUUUUUCUUGAGUAGUGCAGAGGUAGGCGGAAUUCCCGGUGUAGCGGUGGAAUGCGUAGAUAUCGGGAGGAACACCAGUGGCGAAGGCGGCCUACUGGGCACCAACUGACGCUGAGGCUCGAAAGUGUGGGUAGCAAACCAGGAUUAGAUACCCUGGUAGUCCACACUGUAAACGAUGAUUACUAGGUGUUGGAGGAUUGACCCCUUCAGUGCCGCAGUUAACACAAUAAGUAAUCCACCUGGGGAGUACGACCGCAAGGUUGAAACUCAAAGGAAUUGACGGGGGCCCGCACAAGCAGUGGAGUAUGUGGUUUAAUUCGACGCAACGCGAAGAACCUUACCAAGUCUUGACAUCCUGCGACGCACAUAGAAAUAUGUGUUUCCUUCGGGACGCAGAGACAGGUGGUGCAUGGUUGUCGUCAGCUCGUGUCGUGAGAUGUUGGGUUAAGUCCCGCAACGAGCGCAACCCUUAUGGUCAGUUACUACGCAAGAGGACUCUGGCCAGACUGCCGUUGACAAAACGGAGGAAGGUGGGGAUGACGUCAAAUCAUCAUGCCCUUUAUGACUUGGGCUACACACGUACUACAAUGGCGUUAAACAAAGAGAAGCAAGACCGCGAGGUGGAGCAAAACUCAGAAACAACGUCCCAGUUCGGACAGCAGGCUGCAACUCGCCUGCACGAAGUCGGAAUUGCUAGUAAUCGCAGAUCAGCAUGCUGCGGUGAAUACAAACCCGGGCCUUGUACACACCGCCCGUCA